rnacentral:lncRNA from 1 species
UGGAGGUGGCACACACCUUUAAUCCCAGCACUUAGGAGACAGAGGGGAAGCCUUGUGGUUACACAUUAACCCAAGUGUCCUGUGGACUCUGGGGCUGAUAACAGGGCUCACCAAAGGCCUGUUCUUGUCUGGCACUUGCUGAUAAGUUACCCAUCAGGGCCACCCCAAGGGCCACCCCCCAGCACUUAGAAACCUGGCCACCACCUCCAAAAGUGAGCCCCCUCCCCCCAAGUGGAACUCCCAUUGUCUCACGCCCAGCCAAUUAUAAGGGACAAU